rnacentral:rRNA from 1 species
GUGGGGAAUCUUAGACAAUGGGCGCAAGCCUGAUCUAGCCAUGCCGCGUGAGCGAUGAAGGCCUUAGGGUUGUAAAGCUCUUUCGUGGGGGAAGAUAAUGACUGUACCCCAAGAAGAAGCCCCGGCUAACUCCGUGCCAGCAGCCGCGGUAAUACGGAGGGGGCUAGCGUUGUUCGGAAUUACUGGGCGUAAAGCGCACGUAGGCGGACUGGAAAGUCAGGGGUGAAAUCCCGGGGUCAAACCCCGGAACUGCCUUUGAAACUCCCGGUCUUGAGUUCGAGAGAGGUGAGUGGAAUUCCGAGUGUAGAGGUGAAAUUCGUAGAUAUUCGGAGGAACACCAGUGGCGAAGGCGGCUCACUGGCUCGAUACUGACGCUGAGGUGCGAAAGCGUGGGGAGCAAACAGGAUUAGAAACCCGUGUAGUCC